CGUAUAGUGGUAUAACUGUUCGUUCAUGUUGGAGUACUUCGGAUAUUAAGCGCAUGAGUUCCAGCCUACCCACGAGGGGGGAGACCUUGGCGGAAUCUCCGGUACCAAUCUGUCCUAAUCGAAUUGUGUCCUUGAAGUCCAUUGAGGGAUCUUAUAUAGUCCAGUGGUCCAUACAAAUGUCCAUAGCUGUAGGCCGGUUACGUAGUAGUCUGGUUGUUGAGUAAUACUAGUCUGUGGUUAAUUGUCAAACUAUGCAAUU
rnacentral:lncRNA from 1 species